UCCUUUGCUAGGUCUCAGUGAUGCCAUUCA
rnacentral:piRNA from 1 species